GGAAAAUAGAGAAACAUCCUUCUCCAUUGUCAAGUGACAAGCGAUGGUACCCAGGCUGCUGACUCUUCAAUCCUGCAAAUCUUGAAACAAAGACUUCCCUGUCCUCUCGGCUUGUCACCUGUAGGCAUGAAGAUGUCAGCUCCCUGGCCAACCACCAGGUGCCGGGACCUCAGGAGGUUUCCAGAAUGAAGGAAUCUGUGUCUAUGUCUGCUGUCCAGGCCUGCAGCGAAGUGGUGACCAGUGGAGAGGCCAGGUGGUGUAGGGGCUGCACCCAGCUUGCUGCUCGGUAUAAAAUGGAAAUUUGGA
rnacentral:lncRNA from 1 species